GUCACUUAUGUACAGAAUUCAAGAAUUCAGACUUGCCUCCAAUGAAAGUAAGAAUUUCUAAGAGGCGUGGCACAAAGGGGAAGAUAAGAGGAAAAAUGUAUUAUCUGAAAUGCUUACCCAGCUCCUUCCUGUAAGUGCCAUUCUAUUCUGUCAGAGACUAUCUUUGGGCUGCCAAUCAACUUUAGGAAAUAGCAGGGAGCCUGUUGCUCUGGGCACUCAGGAUAUCCAUUAUUGGCUAGAUAAGGUAGAUUUGGCAUUUUUCCAGAAGUGACUAUCAAAGGGAAAUCUGAAGAAUAAAAUUUAAAUGGAGACUUUAAAAACUAAUAAAUUUGCAAAGAUGA